rnacentral:sRNA from 1 species
CCCAGAGGUAUUGAUAGGUGGAAUCGACGUCAGUUGAUGAACCGCGUUACACCAGCCUGCGUUCUUACGCAGGUUUUUUUU